UAAUUGCAAUUACUGAUUUGGUC
rnacentral:piRNA from 1 species